CAACUCCUGGUUUUAUUCCCAAGUAGCAGGAGGUGUGUUGAUCCUAGUAACAGUUACUAAAACCAGACAUCGAACAUACUUCGUUUGGAGGAAUUUUCUUAAUAUAGGCAUAAAAUUCACUACAGUGGGCAGUGCUGUCAUCCAGGAGCUUUAUUAUCGUUUGUCCCAUGUGGAACUGAGUGAGUUGGGAGACAAAGAGAAUCAAGCAAAGUUAAUUUUUAAAACCUACGUUGCUGGUAUAAUAUGAAUGUAUAAAGUGUGUGUGAGAGUAAAUAUGUGUAAUUAUUUCCAAACUUCUUGGGUUGGAUGCUGUAUUUGAAAAACAGUCUUAAGUUUCUAGUGAGAAGGCUUAGUUAUAGGUUACCAGUUAAAGCAAGACAUCUUAAUUUGGGAGUUACAUGGAUAGAACGUGUGCAGUUCUUCCUGUUGGAUGCUGAGCAGCUAUUGCCACAAAAAAACCUGUGAGAGGCCCGUUUUCUAUAAAGCCUGAUACAGCACUGAUGCAUCAGGCUUUUGUAUUAUAAAAGCUUUUAAAUACAUGAGGAGUCCUGUUGAGUUCUGUAAAACAGUGUAUUUGCUGUAAGUUAAUGUACUGAUAUGUAGCUGACAAUUCAAGUUUCAGAACAUAAAAUAAUAGUAAUAUUCCAUAUUUCUGAAUGAUAGCUUUUGGACCUCUUAAUAGGUAACAGUGAAAUCAUUGAUGUAGAGUGUGCAAUUACGGAGAGGCAGCAAGUGACCUGAUGUGAAAUCACUUUUGCCAGGGGUUUUGGAAAAACAUGCUUUUUAAUAAAGUGCACUUGACCUUU